rnacentral:rRNA from 1 species
GACGAACGCUGGCGGCGUGCUUAACACAUGCAGGUCGAACGGAAAGGCCCUGCUUUUGUGGGGUGCUCGAGUGGCGAACGGGUGAGUAACACGUGAGUAACCUGCCCUUGACUUUGGGAUAACUUCAGGAAACUGGGGCUAAUACCGGAUAGGAGCUCCUGCUGCAUGGUGGGGGUUGGAAAGUUUCGGCGGUUGGGGAUGGACUCGCGGCUUAUCAGCUUGUUGGUGGGGUAGUGGCUUACCAAGGCUUUGACGGGUAGCCGGCCUGAGAGGGUGACCGGCCACAUUGGGACUGAGAUACGGCCCAGACUCCUACGGGAGGCAGCAGUGGGGAAUAUUGCACAAUGGGCGCAAGCCUGAUGCAGCAACGCCGCGUGCGGGAUGACGGCCUUCGGGUUGUAAACCGCUUUCGCCUGUGACGAAGCGUGAGUGACGGUAAUGGGUAAAGAAGCACCGGCUAACUACGUG